GGGCCGCUAACUCAACAUCGAGAGUACCUGACUCUUAAUCAGGAGGUUGUGGGCGGAAAUCCCACGCGGCCCACCA
rnacentral:tRNA from 1 species